GAUGAACGCUGGCGGCGUGCCUAAUACAUGCAAGUCGAGCGAACGGACGAGGAGCUUGCUUCUCUGAUGUUAGCGGCGGACGGGUGAGUAACACGUGGAUAACCUACCUAUAAGACUGGGAUAACUUCGGGAAACCGGAGCUAAUACCGGAUAAUAUUUUGAACCGCAUGGUUCAAAGGUGAAAGACGGUCUUGCUGUCACUUAUAGAUGGAUCCGCGCUGCAUUAGCUAGUUGGUAAGGUAACGGCUUACCAAGGCAACGAUGCAUAGCCGACCUGAGAGGGUGAUCGGCCACACUGGAACUGAGACACGGUCCAGACUCCUACGGGAGGCAGCAGUAGGGAAUCUUCCGCAAUGGGCGAAAGCCUGACGGAGCAACGCCGCGUGAGUGAUGAAGGUCUUCGGAUCGUAAAACUCUGUUAUUAGGGAAGAACAUAUGUGUAAGUAACUGUGCACAUCUUGACGGUACCUAAUCAGAAAGCCACGGCUAACUACG
rnacentral:rRNA from 1 species